rnacentral:rRNA from 1 species
UGGGGAAUUUUGGACAAUGGGCGAAAGCCUGAUCCAGCCAUGCCGCGUGCGUGAAGAAGGCCUUCGGGUUUUAAACCGCUUUAGUCCGGGAAAAAGUGCUGACGUUCUAAUCCCGCGUUGUUUUUAUGGUACUGGAAGAAUAAGCACCGGCUAACUACGUGCCAGCAGCCGCGGUAAUCCUUAGUGUUCGAGCGUUAAUCGGAAUUACUUGGCGUAAAGCGUGCGCAGGCGGUCUUGUAAGACAGUCGUUAAAGCCCCGGGCUUAACCUGGGAACUGCGAUUGUGACUGCAAGGCUAGAGUGUGUCAGAGGGGGGUGGAAUUCCACGUGUAGCAGUGAAAUGCGUAGAGAUGUGGAGGAACACCGAUGGCGAAGGCAGCCCCCUGGGAUAACACUGACGCUCAUGCACGAAAGCGUGGGGAGCAAACA